rnacentral:lncRNA from 1 species
GGAGAGAGAGAAUAGGAUUUAAGGGGGGGCGGGAUAAAAAAAAAACAAAACAAAAAAACUAGAAGUGGGAGGAGGCACAAAGCCCCACUGGAUUGUCUUCUCAUGUUUAUGGCUGCCUCACAUUUAUCAAACACUGCUCCACAGACACAUCACACUUUGUUGAUACUGUCAGUUCCUGCUCAAACAAAUUGCUUGUGCCUUCCUUGUCUUGGUCUUGGCUAAAAACGCUGCUUCAGGGUCCAGGUUUAUGUUUCUCCCACCACUCUACUGUUUUAUUAGGACUUGGUUAGGUUGUAGAAUGAAAGCUUGAUUUCCUGGACAUAGAUUAAAUAUCUAGCAGGUCUUUCCUAUGUACAAGGAAGGAGAGGUAGCGGGGGAACUAGUGAGCAACUGAUUUUGGCCUGGGGUAGUCUGCUCUGCCUGUUAGUAGUUAUGACUUGGCAAAUACUGUAGGCAGUCUGUCUACAGCUUCUUAUUUUUAGCAUUAUCAGCACUACAGUGGUUUUAUCACUUAAGUCAUACUAAUCAAUGUAUUUAUCCUUUGUAUUUAUCCCCUUUCUUGCAGUAUGCAUCAUUUUAGACAGGAAGACUCAAUUUAACACAUCUUCCCUGUGGUUUCACUGUUUUAUAUUUUCGUCCCCAACAAGUCUUUAGGCAAUGAAUAGUUAGAUAGAAAAUAAACAUGUUUCUGACCAGAGUAUAACUUGGAAUGUAGACUACUUAGAUAACAAAAUUUGAUUCAGCGUUACGCUAUACAGCACCC